AUGUUGCUUUCUCUCGCCCUCCUUCCCUUGUCUACUGUUUUACGUUGCUGCCGUCAUCACAACCUCGUCAACAUGUUGCUUUCUCUCGCCCUCCUUCCCUUGUCUACUGUUUUACGUUGCAGCCGUCAUCACAACCUCGUCAACAUGUUGCUUUCUCUCGCCCUCCUUCCCUUGUCUACUGUUUUACGUUGCAGCCGUCAACACAACCUCGUCAACAUGUUGCUUUCUCUCGCCCUCCUUCCCUUGUCUACUGUUUUACGUUGCAGCCGUCAUCACAACCUCGUCAACAUGUUGCUUUCUCUCGCCCUCCUUCCCUUGUCUACUGUUUUACGUUGCAGCCGUCAUCACAACCUCGUCAACAUGUUGCUUUCUCUCGCCCUCCUUCCCUUGUCUACUGUUUUACGUUGCAGCCGUCAUCACAACCUCGUCAACAUGUUGCUUUCUCUCGCCCUCCUUCCCUUGUCUACUGUUUUACGUUGCAGCCGUCAUCACAACCUCGUCAACAUGUUGCUUUCUCUCGCCCUCCUUCCCUUGUCUACUGUUUUACGUUGCACCCGUCAACACAACCUCGUCAACAUGUUGCUUUCUCUCGCCCUCCUUCCCUUGUCUACUGUUUUACGUUGCAGCCGUCAUCACAACCUCAUCAACAUGUUGCUUUCUCUCGCCCUCCUUCCCUUGUCUACUGUUUUACGUUGCAGCCGUCAUCACAACCUCAUCAACAUGUUGCUUUCUCUCGCCCUCCUUCCCUUGUCUACUGUUUUACGUUGCAGCCGUCAUCACAACCUCGUCAACAUGUUGCUUUCUCUCGCCCUCCUUCCCUUGUCUACUGUUUUACGUUGCAGCCGUCAUCACAACCUCGUCAACAUGUUGCUGUCUCUCGCCCUCCUUCCCUUGUCUACUGUUUUACGUUGCAGCCGUCAUCACAACCUCGUCAACAUGUUGCUUUCUCUCGCCCUCCUUCCCUUGUCUACUGUUUUACGUUGCAGCCGUCAUCACAACCUCAUCAACAUGGUGCUUUCUCUCGCCCUCCUUCCCUUGUCUACUGUUUUACGUUGCAUGGUUUUCUCACAGCGCAUUUGA
rnacentral:lncRNA from 1 species